ACAUCUGCCUUGUAAGGUACCAUUUAAAAACUCACAAUUUGCUGGUCACUAUUGUCCUAAUAAAAUAUGCGACAAUAUUGUAUGUGAAGUUAUAAGAUGCCCCUGUAGGAUGUUAUUAACGUACGUUCCAAACCUCAUAGCCCGCCCAAGCAGAAGUGGGACAACAGGUCUGUCCUAAACAAAGGAAUGUGUGGUUACCUUAAUUUGCAUGUAAGCAGUCAACAGAGUCAUCAAGUAGGGAGAGAAAACAAAGGACAUUCAAACAGGAGAAAAAAAACAGCAGGGGCCAUCCUUCCACAUAGAUGCUUUGUCUCCUGGGUCUCAGCUGGAAAUGUGUCUUGAGAGGGUGACUGAAACUAUAAAAAGGAUCUACAAACACCUCAAGGCACCCCCAUCUCUCUCCCGGCUUCCUCAUUGUCAGCACCUGCGAAGACAAAAGUAAACAGCCAUUGGACGCUGGGCAGUUAGCAGUGUUGGUGGACAAACUGCAAUUUGAGUUGGCCGAGGGAUACACUUCAAAGCACCUAUGGCAAGCGACUUGCAGAGCAAUUUGGGUUGCCCACUAGCACAGCAGGAAAAAAUUAUAGUAGCAUCUGUCCUUCCCUCCACCUGCAGCAUCAGCGCCUGCGUGAACAGUAACUGAACUGAAAGCUGACGGCUGAGCCAAGAUCUGGUGAUAC